UUUUAUGGCGGUUGUGUGCGGGAGACUUUCGAGUCUGCCGAGUCUGGUUUCUCCUCGGUCUGCGAACCUGCUCACAGCCGCCACCCAU
rnacentral:antisense_RNA from 1 species